UGCAGCGGAAAUUCUUUAUUACAAAAUGGUUACAAGUUACAACAUUUACAAGUUAUAACAAGAUUACAAUGUAUAUCAUCAGAGUUGAUUACAAAAGCAAGUGAUUCAAAAGAAUUACAAUUUGAAUGUAUAAAACAUUUAUAAGUUUUAAAAUACAUGCUAGCUUAAGUGACAAUCCUCAAUAAGAAAGCUAAAGAUGAGAUAUACUUAUAUAAGAAGGCCGAGCCCACCGGCACUUAGCACCAUCCAUAACAGAACAAAAUUAUAACCUG
rnacentral:lncRNA from 1 species